rnacentral:rRNA from 1 species
GACGAACGCUGGCGGCGUGCUUAACACAUGCAAGUCGAACGGAAAGGCCCUGCUUUUGUGGGGUGCUCGUGUGGCGAAGGGGGGUGUAACACGUGAGUAACCUGCCCUUGACUUUGGGAGAACUUCAGGAAACUGGGGCGAAUACCGGAGAGGAGCUCCUGCUGCAUGGUGGGGGGUGGUAAGUUUCGGCGGUUGGGGCUGGUCUCGCGGCUUAACAGCUGGUUGGUGGAGUAGUGGCUUACCAAGCCUUUGACGGGUAGCCGGCAUGGGAGGGUGGACGGCCACCUUGGGACUGAGAUAGGGACCAGACGCGUACGGGAGGCAGCAGGGGGGAACAUUGCACAGUGGCGGCAAGCCAGAUGUGGAGACGCUGCGUGCGGGAAGCCGGCCUUCGGGUUGUAAACCGAUUUCGAAUGAGCCGAAGAGUGCGUGACGGUACCUGGUAAAGAAGCAACGGCUAACUACGUG